rnacentral:rRNA from 1 species
AGAGUUUGAUCCUGGCUCAGGACGAACGCUGGCGGCGCGCCUAAUGCAUGCAAGUCGAGCGACGCAUUCCUUAGCCCGUAAGGGCGGGUUUGACGGAGCGGCGAGCGGGUGCGUAACACGUGACCAAUCUGCCCCGAAGACCGGGAUAGCCCGGGGAAACCCGGAUUAAUACCGGAUGAUCUCAUAGCAACGCAUGUUGGAAUGAGCAAAGGUUCAGGCGCUUCGGGAUGAGGUCGCGGUCCAUCAGCUAGUUGGUGAGGUAACGGCUCACCAAGGCAACGACGGGUAGCUGGUCUGAGAGGACGAUCAGCCACACUGGAACUGAGAUACGGUCCAGACUCCUACGGAGGCAGCAGCAGGGAAUCUUGCGCAAUGGGCGAAAGCCUGACGCAGCGACGCCGCGUGGGGGAUGAAGGCCUUAGGGUUGUAAACCCCUUUCACGAGGGAAGAAAAUGACGGUACCUCGAGAAGAAGCCCCGGCCAACUACGUGCCAGCAGCCGCGGUAAUACGUAGGGGGCGAGCGUUGUCCGGAUUUAUGGGGCGUAAAGGGCUCGUAGGCGGC